AUUGAACGCUGGCGGCAUGCCUUACACAUGCAAGUCGAACGGCAGCGGGGGAGAAGCUUGCUUUUCCUGCCGGCGAGUGGCGAACGGGUGAGUAAUACAUCGGAACGUGCCCUGUAGUGGGGGAUAACUAGUCGAAAGAUUAGCUAAUACCGCAUACGACCUGAGGGUGAAAGUGAGGGACCGCAAGGCCUCAUGCUAUAGGAGCGGCCGAUGUCUGAUUAGCUAGUUGGUGGGGUAAAGGCCUACCAAGGCGACGAUCAGUAGCUGGUCUGAGAGGACGAGCAGCCACACUGGGACUGAGACACGACCCAGACUCCUACGGGAGGCAGCAGUGGGGAAUUUUGGACAAUGGGCGAAAGCCUGAUCCAGCAAUGCCGCGUGUGUGAAGAAGGCCUUCGGGUUGUAAAGCACUUUUGUCCGGAAAGAAAUGGCUCUGGUUAAUACCUGGGGUCGAUGACGGUACCGGAAGAAUAAGGACCGGCUAACUACGUGCCAGCCGCCGCCGUAA
rnacentral:rRNA from 1 species